GAAUAAAUUUCAUGAAGAAUAAAACUUUUAAAUUUCCUAUUUUGCGAGGAAUAUCAUUCCAAAAUUAUAUUAGGAAUAUUAUCUUCCUAUUCUGCAUUACUAUGUUAUCUAUGGUCUACCUUUCAUCCUUUUCACUUCUGACUUUGAUGCUUCAAAUUUUAUAUGUUGAUUUAUCUGCUGUAUAUCAGCAACCAUCUCAGUUUUUGAUCUCUAAAUUUGGUGCCAUUUCCACUUUCACACUGACUACACUUCUUUCUCAUUCAGUCAUUUCUUAUUUUCACAUCCAUUUCACCAUACUUUAUGUUGUGGACAUGUUCCUUCACCACCCAGCUUUCACUAUUAGGUAUCAUAGUUGGCCAACCUAGCAAGGAUUUUAGGAGCUUGUCCUUAGUGGACAACUGUUGCACUUAUUUGUUUUAUCCUUCUUGCAUUAAUAUUAUAUUAUAUCUUUUUCACUAUUUCCAUUCUUUUGUAAUAGAAUCAAAGUGUUGAAAGUAAUAACUUUGUUGGAUUUUUUUCACUAUUUGUUUUGUUCAUUGCCCUUGCAUUGUAAAUUGCAAAGUGUGUACUCUGUUUUGGUUGUACCGUACUUGAAACCCUUAGACUUUAAGGUGAUCUUUCAUCCUUCAUUUUCUUGUUAGUUGUAGAUCAGUUUUUCUUGUAUUAGUACUAUGUUAUCAGCAAAAGGAUUGCAUCAAGAAAUAUCUUAUUGUACACACUUUGUUUGAUCAUCCAUGACCAAAGCAAAAGAUAAGAGCUCAAGUCAAUCCUUGUUGUAAGCUAAAUGUAGUAGGAAAUAAUCCUUGUCACUCCCUAUAGUCAUAUGAACAGUUGCCUGCAGUUUUCUAUUGACUAUUAGGAUCCCUGCAGU
rnacentral:misc_RNA from 1 species